GGCGGCGUGCCUAAUACAUGCAAGUAGAACGCUGAAGGAGGAGCUUGCUUCUCUGGAUGAGUUGCGAACGGGUGAGUAACGCGUAGGUAACCUACCUGGUAGCGGGGGAUAACUAUUGGAAACGAUAGCUAAUACCGCAUAAGAGUAGAUGUCGCAUGACAUUUGCUUGAAAGGUGCAAUUGCAUCACUACCAGAUGGACCUGCGUUGUAUUAGCUAGUUGGUGAGGUAACGGCUCACCAAGGCAACGAUACAUAGCCGACCUGAGAGGGUGAUCGGCCACACUGGGACUGAGACACGGCCCAGACUCCUACGGGAGGCAGCAGUAGGGAAUCUUCGGCAAUGGACGGAAGUCUGACCGAGCAACGCCGCGUGAGUGAAGAAGGUUUUCGGAUCGUAAAGCUCUGUUGUAAGAGAAGAAACGAGUGUGAGAGUGGAAAG
rnacentral:rRNA from 1 species